UGCAAUUUGUUGACAGAUAUGGCUGGAAAAGAGAAACUUGAAUCAAAUAUUCCUCAAGCAACUAAGACACAUAAUGUUUGUGCAGGUAUAGAUGAAGCAGGAAGAGGACCUGUGUUAGGUCCUAUGGUAUAUGGACUGUGUUUCUGCCCUUUGUCCGAGAAGGAACGAUUUGCUCAAAUGGGAUUUGCUGAUUCCAAGCAGCUCUCAGAAGAGAAAAGAGAAAAGUUAUUUGAGGAUAUAAAAAAGGCUACAGAAUUUGUGGGAUGGAGUGUGGAAAUAUUAUCUCCCUCAUUUAUAUCAACUAGCAUGCUGGCAAGAUCCAAAUACAAUCUCAAUGCAUUAUCUCACGACAGUGCUAUAGGUCUAGUGAAACGUGCACUUGACAAUGGAGUGAACAUCACAGAGCUGUAUGUUGACACUGUUGGAGACCCAGCAAAAUACCAAGCUAAGCUAUCACAGUUGUUUCCACAUAUUCAAAUUACUGUUGCCGCCAAGGCUGACUCACUGUUUCCAAUAGUCAGUGCUGCGAGCAUCUGUGCCAAGGUGAUACGAGACGAAGCCGUGAAGAACUGGCAGUUUGUGGAAGCUUUACCAUAUGAUUGUACGUCGUAUGAGUCAUAUGGGUCUGGUUAUCCUGGAGGUCGGUUGCUGCUGUGUCAAUGCUCACACUAAAGAGUGGUUGGAGAGUGUUUGUGAUCCUGUAUUUGGCUUUCCGCAGUUUGUCCGUUUCAGCUGGUCUACAGUCGAUAAACUUCUAGAACGGAAAGCUACAGCUGUUGAAUGGGAAGAUGAUGAUGAAGAUGAACAACCAAAAGGUACAGUUACGCUAAGCCAGUUUUUCAGUAAGAAAGACAAAGUAAAGAAACAUAGAUUCUUCGAAGAGAGGAAACUGUCUACAGUACAAGAUCUAUAAAUAUUUGUUGAUAAAUGACUAGUACAAAACUAGACAAUCGACUUAGUUUCUGUAUGA